rnacentral:rRNA from 1 species
GACGAACCGUGCGAACGUGGUUCGGAAUCACUGGGCUUGAAGGGCGCGUAGGCGGGCUGCCGCGUCCGGGGUGAAAUCCCACGGCUCAACCGUGGAACGGCCUCGGAUACGGGCGGUCUCGAGGGAGGUAGGGGCACGCGGAACUGUGGGUGGAGCGGUGAAAUGCGUUGAUAUCCACAGGAACUCCGGUGGCGAAGGCGGCGUGCUGGACCUCAUCUGACGCUGAGGCGCGAAAGCCAGGGGAGCAAACGGG